GAAUGUCCUCUCAACGAGGUGAUUUCUGUAUAAUUAUCGAAACAAAAAUAUUUCUACCGCAGUUAACCGUGGCCCUGUUGUUCGUAAGUUUAUGGAAAGUUUUAAUGUCAAACAAUUUUUCAAUUACAAGCCAGGAGUCAAAAAAUCUGAUCCAAUGAGACAGUUUACUGGACCUGAACGGAGGACACCAUACCAAACAUAUCUGGACUCUGCACCGCCAUUUCCUCCAUUGGAUGUGAUCGAUGAGAGCCCUCGCUGCAGAUGGUUCAGAAAGGCAUGCCUUCAGUAUUGAUAAGCUCAUGUCGGAGGGAGAAAAAGUCUACUUGCUGGAUUGCAGGCAGCAUCUGCGACUUUCAGUGGGACAAUUAUGCUGCAGACUAGCUGCUUGCAGCCAACUGGACAGCUAAAUUUGGAUUUUCCCAACAAUGGAACCAGG